UGGGGAAUAUUGCACAAUGGAGGAAACUCUGAUGCAGCCAUGCCGCGUGUGUGAAGAAGGCUUUCGGGUUGUAAAGCACUUUCAGCGAGGAGGAAAGGGUGUUAGUUAAUAACUGACAUCUGUGACGUUACUCGCAGAAGAAGCACCGGCUAACUCCGUGCCAGCAGCCGCGGUAAUACGGAGGGUGCGAGCGUUAAUCGGAAUUACUGGGCGUAAAGCGCGCGUAGGUGGUUAAUUAAGUCAGAUGUGAAAGCCCAGGGCUCAACCUUGGAACUGCAUUUGAAACUGGUUGACUAGAGUUUUGUAGAGGGUGGUAGAAUUUCAGGUGUAGCGGUGAAAUGCGUAGAGAUCUGAAGGAAUACCAGUGGCGAAGGCGGCCACCUGGACAAAGACUGACACUGAGGCGCGAAGGCGUGGGGAGCAAACGGGAUUAGAUACCCCGGUAGUCCACGCAGUAAACGAUGUCUAUUAGAAGUUUGUGGCUAUAUGCCGUGGGUUUCAAAGCUAACGCAUUAAAUAGACCGCCUGGGGAGUACGGCCGCAAGGUUA
rnacentral:rRNA from 1 species